AGCUAGGACUGAUUGGGUGAAUCCUUCGAGCAAGGAGGCUGCAUCAGGGAGGCCCAGCCAGUGGUAGUGGCCGGCGGUGGAGACCCCUGCAGGGUGCUGUGGUGUGGACGGGCUGGGGAGACCGAGAGACACAGGUGCCCCUUUCCCUCUGGCUGACGGAGAAAGGAGGAUCGGGGGCUCCCAGGGAGGGGACACUCAGGAAGGGACUCGGGCGUGCGCCGUGAGGCCACAGACAACCAGCCAGCCCCACGCACGGGAGGAGCUGGGCCCCCGUGAGGGGCGUGACGGGCCACCUCAGGCAGGAAGGGCCCAGAACUCCGGGGAAGGGGGCCUGGGUGCAGGAGUGGGGUGCCCUCCUUCGCUGCAGCUGGGAGGAGGGAGGGACGGCUCCCAGGGCAGCGUCACCCACGGCUGCAGAGCUGGGUGCCCUGCGGGUGCGAGCCCGCUUUCUCCUGGAUGGGUCGUGGGGAGAUGCUCCCGCUUGGAGGAGUGGCCAGGAAGUUCCUGGCUCACAGUGGUAUCCACACUUAGGCUUCAGGAGUUAAAUAAACAAUGGAAUGUUCUGGAAUAUCCGGAGGGUCUGAAAGCUUGAUUAGGAGAAGUGGGCCUUGGGCAAGGGGGUAGCCAGUGCCCCGCAGUGCUCUGGGGCAGCGAAGCCACACCCCUGGGGCGUCUUGCUCUUGCUUUGUUUGUUUUCGGAGAGUAGAUUUACGGAGAAGUGUUUCCUGUACUCCAGAUGCAUUGAGAACAGGAGGUGUCGUUGUCGGAGCUGUGGCACCACCAGCGGCAGGGACAGACCCACGGGGCGUCCGGAAGUAGCUUUGCACAUUCCUCUGCUCACGCUGGAAGGGGACCCGUGAGGGGGGAGAGAGUGGUACUGGAGCUGAGAACACCUGGUCACCAGGUGGAGAAUUUGCAGCGACAGUGAAAGGCGGGGAGCCGGGGAACCCUGGCAAGAGCCCUUGCUGUGGCUUCCGGGGGUGAAGGACAAGGAGGAGACGCAGCAGCCUGGCUGGAGCGAUUUCGGGACGAGCUGGAACUUAUCUGGAGGGUUUCUGUGAAGUUCGGAGAGUGAACGCAGUUCCCAGAAGCAGCCUGACGCACAGCAAGUGCUUCUUGCCUGUUGACUACCUUAUCAGCGCUUAUCUAGUGCCUGGUGUUUGCUUUCCGGAGUCAAUGGUCUUUCCCGGAACCAGUGGGAAUUCCGGCAGGCAGGAGCACCCCGAGUCCUCAGUGGAGCUCGAGAGGCUGGGGUGAGCCAUAAAGCACGGAUUCUUUUAUGAGGGUUGGAGAAUUAGUCACCCUGUGUUUAAGCCUGGGAUCUUGGAUCGCAAACGGGCCUCUCCAGGUAUCUCAGGUUUGUCAAGAGAGUAAAAAUAAGUGGCAACAUCCGAGUCACCUGUGCAUCCUGUGUGCUUAGGACUGGGAGCCGUCCCUCCUCUCUGCCACCUUUCUCCUUGCUUCUGUCCCUCCUCUGAUGAUGGGCCACUGACGAGACUUGGAAACUUGAGUUGUCUUCGUAGAACAAGACCUUUGAACUGGGAGGCAUCCUCCUCAUGGCUGUGGCUGUGCAAAACCUUGGCCCUUGUACAAAAAGCUGGGUAUUUCAGCUUUCAGCUACCAACUAAACCACCACAAAAAGCACUGCCGAUUUAACGUAUUUCAGUAGAACUCCAGGUUGGAAUAUUUCUGAUUCCUAGGAAGAGGCAGCAUGUUCUGCCUGUGACGACUGAGCCCCUUCUCUGUGACCUGACUGUUCCUUCCUCAUCCACAGACCGUCCGGAACGACGUGGGCCCGCCGCGAUGGACCCUCCAUUCUUCCUCUGGACGUUUGAGCUGAUAAGUCCUCGAGACCCACACGUGCUUCUCGUGCAGAGGAGACACUUCCCCAGGACCCGUGCGUGGCGGCUGGAGUUCAGACGAGGCUGCGCUCUGCUCCGCGGCUGUGCUGGGCCAUCCCCGGAGCCCCGGUGUGGGGUGUGGGGUGUGGGGCGUGGGGCGUGGGGCAGGCGUCAGCACCCUGCGGCCAGAGGGGCCGGGCGAGAGUCCCUGCGCUGUCGUUUAGCACUGGGGUGACUUUGGGCGCGUUGUUUCCGCUCUGAGUCCUGGUUUCCCAGACACAAAAGGGGUUAAUAACAAGACCCGUCUUGAGGGCCGCUGCGGGUUGUGCUGAUGCCAACCCUGGCACAGGUGCGGCUUGUGGAGAGCUCUCGAUACGGGGCAGCUGGGACUAGCAGCACGAGGCGUGUGCGUGCUUGUCUCAGCUGGGCAUGGACUUCUGGUGCAGAUCGCACCAAGGGUGACCUUCUGCUGGGCGGGCUCCCGUCUCCUCCCCCAGACCUGGGGCCACCCGCCCACCUGCCACGCGCUCUCUUGGCCCCUGAGGAGGAAGCACCAGGUGUUGUGCUCCCUGCUGCCUUCUUGAGGGACACUGGACCUGUCUGGGGGCUCAGGGGCUGGAGGGAACCGUGCCCGGUGGGGUCCGGGGCGGCGCUUCCCCAGGGCAGCAAAGCCCCCUGGAAGAUGGGUCAGCCCGUGAGGGCAGGGCGCCGCAAAGCAGAAAGAAACGUUACCAAACGGUCGGUGCCAACAAACCCACGUUGCGCGUCCGUGCUGGGGGCGGCUGCGUCAUCCUCCUCAGAGCGUGGUGUGGACGGCGAGCACCGCAGCACGAGCCACCAGCAUGAGACGCUGGCUGGGAUGAGCUCUGAAAAGCCACCUGUUCUUGCUCAGUGCGGCCACUUCCUGCGUUCUCUUCUUUGUUGCGUUCACAGUGCUGUGGACCCCACCGGGCAGGGACAGCCCCGGCACCGGGGAGGGGGGUCACCGAGCGAACAAGUUGUUUGCAGUGGGUUUUGGAGAUGCACGGAAGUGACAAGUGCGUGACACUGUGGACGUGGCUAUUGCCACCAAUGUGGCCACCUAAAAAUGGUUAAAAUGGCAACUUUCGCAUUCAUUUUCUUUACCACAGUUAAAAAAAAAACCUCCCAGAUUAAUGAGAGGUAAAAUGUGAAAAAUGUAACCUUAACGUUAAAAAAUAGGAGAUUAUCUUAAUGACUUUGGGACAGAAAAGCCCACACAUGCACACAUCAUAGAGGAAAACAUUGAUACAUUUAAAUAAGGUAACAUUGUAAAAGUCACUGUAAACCAGCUGGAAAUGAAAGCUACAAACUAGGGGGAAACAUAGUUACAAUGCAUACAAGUGGAAAAGAGUUACCGUAACUUGUGAAGGAAUUGCACCUACCGUGUUCCCCCGAAAGUAAGACCUACCCGAACAAUAAGCCCUAGCAGGAUUUCUAAGCAUUUUUGCAAUAGAAGCCCUACCCCGAAAAUAAGACCUGGUGAUGGGC